rnacentral:snoRNA from 1 species
GUGAUGAGGGGAUUCUCUGCGACGUGUGAGCUGGUCCUCGAUCGCUGA